ACGCUAAAUUUAAAUAUGGAAUUCAGCAACCGAAGAACUCUCUUGGUCAGAUCCAGCAGUCAUGACCAGGAAGUCCAGUUCUGCUGGUAUCCGGCUGUCUUCCCUAGGCAGUUCUGAUUCCUGGUACUUUACAAGUGCGAGCUUGGAGUCUGUCUCCAUAGCGCCUCCACCUGGUGUGCUUUACCUUGCCCACAGAUGCACUAGACCCAAUUCUUUCACUUCUGUGUGGACUACCUGCAGGUCCAGGGACAUGAUACUUAUUUUGCUGAAAGCAAAGACUAACUGAGGUAGCUCUCUACAUCA
rnacentral:lncRNA from 1 species